GACAGUGACCAGGUUUUGACGGU
rnacentral:miRNA from 1 species